AUUGAACGCUGGCGGCAUGCCUUACACAUGCAAGUCGAACGGCAGCACGGGGGCAACCCUGGUGGCGAGUGGCGAACGGGUGAGUAAUGCAUCGGAACGUGCCCAUUAGUGGGGGAUAACCAGUCGAAAGAUUGGCUAAUACCGCAUACGACCUACGGGUGAAAGCGGGGGACCGCAAGGCCUCGCGCUAUUGGAGCGGCCGAUGUCUGAUUAGCUAGUUGGUGAGGUAAUGGCUCACCAAGGCGACGAUCAGUAGCUGGUCUGAGAGGACGACCAGCCACACUGGGACUGAGACACGGCCCAGACUCCUACGGGAGGCAGCAGUGGGGAAUUUUGGACAAUGGGCGCAAGCCUGAUCCAGCCAUGCCGCGUGCGGGAAGAAGGCCUUCGGGUUGUAAACCGCUUUUGGCAGGAACGAAACGGCGACUUCUAAUACAGGUCGCUAAUGACGGUACCUGCAGAAUAAGCACCGGCUAACUACGUGCCAGCCGCCGCCGUAAUAC
rnacentral:rRNA from 1 species